rnacentral:rRNA from 1 species
AUACCGCAUAAGCGCACGAGGAGACAUCUCCUUGUGUGAAAAACUCCGGUGGUACAGGAUGGGCCCGCGUCUGAUUAGCUGGUUGGCAGGGUAACGGCCUACCAAGGCAACGAUCAGUAGCCGGUCUGAGAGGAUGAACGGCCACAUUGGAACUGAGACACGGUCCAAACUCCUACGGGAGGCAGCAGUGGGGAAUAUUGCACAAUGGGGGAAACCCUGAUGCAGCAACGCCGCGUGAGUGAAGAAGUAUUUCGGUAUGUAAAGCUCUAUCAGCAGGGAAGAUAAUGACGGUACCUGACUAAGAAGCUCCGGCUAAAUACGUGCCAGCAGCCGCGGUAAUACGUAUGGAGCAAGCGUUAUCCGGAUUUACUGGGUGUAAAGGGUGCGUAGGUGGCAGUGCAAGUCAGAUGUGAAAGGCCGGGGCUCAACCCCGGAGCUGCAUUUGAAACUGCAUAGCUAGAGUACAGGAGAGGCAGCGGAAUUCCUAGUGUAGCGGUGAAAUGCGUAGAUAUUAGAGGAACACCAGUGGCGAAGCGGCCUGCUGGACUGUUACUGACACUGAGCACGAAAGCGUGGGAGCAACAGAUUAGAUACCCUGGUAGUCCACGCCGUAACGA